rnacentral:misc_RNA from 1 species
AACGCACAUUGCGCCCUCCAGUAUCCUGGAGGGCAUGCCUGUUCGAGCGUCACUACAACACUCAAGCUCUGCUUGGCGUUGGGGCCCUAUGACUUUACCGUCGUAUGCCCUUAAAAUCAGUGGCGGGACCGCUGGGGACCCGGGCGAAGUAACUAUUACAGCGUCAAGGGAUAUCUAGCCGGUCUCCUGCCGUAAAAACGAUUAUUUAUAUCUCAGUGUUGACCUCGGAUCAGGUAGGAAUACCCGCUGAACUUAA